rnacentral:rRNA from 1 species
AUGAUCCAUCCAAAGAAGCUUGCUCAGCUCGUCAAGAAGUGCCAACGGAUGUUGGCAGCUGGAGCCGGUGCCCGCCGUCGGCAUGCCUCAGCCGAUGAUGAAUGCUGCAGUACAGCAUCUGUGGCUGCUGAUGAGGGCCACUGCGUGAUGUACACCACCGAUGGAGCACGGUUCGAGGUCCCUCUGGCAUACCUCGGGACGACGGUGUUCGCUGAGCUCCUGAGGAUGUCCGAGGAGGAGUUUGGCUUCACGAGUGGCGGCGACGGAGGCAGGAUCAUGCUGCCCUGCGACGCCACGGUGAUGGGAGUAUGUCUUGUGCCUGGUCAGGAAAGAGGCCUCCGAGGAGGUCGAGAAGGCGUUCUUGAGCUCCAUUGCUGGGCACUGUCACAACUACAAUGCUAG